rnacentral:rRNA from 1 species
ACACGUGGGUAACCUGCCCAUAAGACUGGGAUAACUCCGGGAAACCGGGGCUAAUACCGGAUAACAUUUUGAACCGCAUGGUUCGAAAUUGAAAGGCGGCUUCGGCUGUCACUUAUGGAUGGACCCGCGUCGCAUUAGCUAGUUGGUGAGGUAACGGCUCACCAAGGCAACGAUGCGUAGCCGACCUGAGAGGGUGAUCGGCCACACUGGGACUGAGACACGGCCCAGACUCCUACGGGAGGCAGCAGUAGGGAAUCUUCCGCAAUGGACGAAAGUCUGACGGAGCAACGCCGCGUGAGUGAUGAAGGCUUUCGGGUCGUAAAACUCUGUUGUUAGGGAAGAACAAGUGCUAGUUGAAUAAGCUGGCACCUUGACGGUACCUAACCAGAAAGCCACGGCUAACUACGUGCCAGCAGCCGCGGUAAUACGUAGGUGGCAAGCGUUAUCCGGAAUUAUUGGGCGUAAAGCGCGCGCAGGUGGUUUCUUAAGUCUGAUGUGAAAGCCCACGGCUCAACCGUGGAGGGUCAUUGGAAACUGGGAGACUUGAGUGCAGAAGAGGAAAGUGGAAUUCCAUGUGUAGCGGUGAAAUGCGUAGAGAUAUGGAGGAACACCAGUGGCGAAGGCGACUUUCUGGUCUGUAACUGACACU